rnacentral:rRNA from 1 species
GAUGAACGCUGGCGGCGUGCCUAAUACAUGCAAGUCGAGCGAACGGACGAGAAGCUUGCUUCUCUGAUGUUAGCGGCGGACGGGGGAGUAACACGUGGAUAACCUACCUAUAAGACUGGGAUAACUUCGGGAAACCGGAGCUAAUACCGGAUGAUAUUUUGAACCGCAUGGUUCAAAAGUGAAAGACGGUCUUGCUGUCACUUAUAGAUGGAUCCGCGCUGCAUUAGCUAGUUGGUAAGGUAACGGCUCACCAAGGCAACGAUGCAUAGCCGACCUGAGAGGGUGAUCGGCCACACUGGAACUGAGACACGGUCCAGACUCCUACGGGAGGCAGCAGUAGGGAAUCUUCCGCAAUGGGCGAAAGCCUGACGGAGCAACGCCGCGUGAGUGAUGAAGGUCUUCGGAUCGUAAAACUCUGUUAUUAGGGAAGAACAUAUGUGUAAGUAACUGUGCACAUCUUGACGGUACCUAAUCAGAAAGCCACGGCUAACUACGUG